AAUAGAUACCCAGGUAGUCCACGCCGUAAACGAUGGAUACUAGCUGUUGGAGGUAUCGACCCCCUCAGUAGCGAAGCUAACGCGUUAAGUAUCCCGCCUAUGGAGUACGGUCGCAAGACUAAAACAUAAAGGAAUUGACGGGGACCCGCACAAGCGGUGGAUCGUGUUCUUUAAUUCGAUGCUAAACGAAGAACCUUACCAGGGUUUGACAUCCCUUGAACUAAUCCGAAAGGAUUGAGUGCUUUAUUGAACAAGGUGACAGGUGAUGCAUGGCCGUCGUCAGCUCGUGUCGUGAGAUGUUUGGUUAAGUCCAUCAACGAGCGCAACCCUUGCAAGUAGUUGUAUUUUUCUACUUGGACUGCCCCGGUAACGGGGAGGAAGGAGGGGAUGAUGUCAGGUCAGUAUUUCCCUUACAUCCUGGGCUAGAAACACGAUACAAUGGCUAGUACAAUGCGCAGCGAAGCCGCGAGGUGAAGCAAAUCGCAUCAAAGCUAGUCCCAGUUCGGAUUGGAGGCUGAAACUCGCCUCCAUGAAGUCGGAA
rnacentral:rRNA from 1 species